rnacentral:rRNA from 1 species
AACAGGGAUUGCCCCAGUAACGGCGAGUGAAGCGGCAACAGCUCAGAUUUGGAAUCUGGCCCCCAGGGCCCGAGUUGUAAUCUGGAGAGGAUGCUUCUGGCGCGGCGCCUUCCGAGUUCCCUGGAACGGGACGCCGGAGAGGGUGAGAGCCCCGUACGGUCGGACGCCCAGCCUUUGUGAAGCUCCUUCGACGAGUCGAGUAGUUUGGGAAUGCUGCUCAAAAUGGGAGGUAAAUUUCUUCUAAAGCUAAAUACCGGCCAGAGACCGAUAGCGCACAAGUAGAGUGAUCGAAAGAUGAAAAGCACUUUGAAAAGAGGGUCAAACAGUACGUGAAAUUGUUGAAAGGGAAGCGCCCGUGGCCAGACUUGUGCCCCGCGGACCACCCGGCGCGCUCAGCGCCGGUGCACUCCGCGGGGCGCAGGCCAGCAUCGGUUUUCCCAGGGGGACAAAGGCGGCGGGAACGUGGCUCCCACGGGAGUGUUAUAGCCCGCCGCGCCAUGCCCCUGGGGGGACCGAGGACCGCGCUUCGGCAAGGAUGCUGGCGUAAUGGCCACCGGCGACCCGUCUUGAAACACGGACCAAGGAGUCAAGCAUUGGGGCGAGUGUCUGGGUGCCAAACCCGCACGCGAAAUGAAAGUGAACGCAGGUGAGAGCUUCGGCGCAUCAUCGACCGAUCCUGAUGUUCUCGGAUGGAUUUGAGUAAGAGCCUUACCGCUUGGACCCGAAAGAUGGUGAACUAUGCCUGUAUAGGGUGAAGCCAGAGGAAACUCUGGUGGAGGCUCGCAGCGGUUCUGACGUGCAAAUCGAUCGUCAAAUAUGGGCAUGGGGGCGAAAGACUAAUCGAACCAU